GAGCUAGCCACCACAGGCACGGGAAAUCGAGCACGCCAAGAUCUCUGUUUUUGCAUACCGUAAAAGUUUCAGGAUAAUAAAAAAGUGCAGUGAUCGGUUCACUAGCGCUCGCCUGGGGAUGAGGACCAUGCUGCUGUCUUGCAUGUUCUUACACAGAGAGAGAACAACAAAGGUUGAUGGUCGCUGGUGGACACACUGAAAUUCACACCAGUGGUUCCCUACACUGUGGGAUCCUGUUCUCUGGAAACCUUGCUGUUGGAAACCUGCUUUGCUAAAGAUGACAUCUGGAAGCCUAGUUUUCCACAUCUCUCUGUUGUGUUUAUGUUUAUGACCACUGGCAAAUCUAAUCUUGUCAUGUUUCAUUAAAACCCUUUCCUUCAGUCAAAUGACCAAACAUCCCUCUAGUGGCCUCAUGGGUGGAAC
rnacentral:lncRNA from 1 species